UUUAAAGCCAAAUGGAUGGCGUCCACAUUCGCCUUCUCGACAAACACAGUUUUUACCGAGUUCCAAGACAUUACUACCAUGAGAAAAGUGUGAUGAUACAGACAUGCCAUUGUCAGAUGAAGUCUACCUCCCCAAAGUAAUAGCAUCCUGCCCAGUGUCAAAGUACAAUGAUGUCUUCCUCAGUAAAAGGCUAGAAACAGACAUGCCAUUGUUAGACGCAGUCCACCUCUUCAAAGGUAAAUGCAACCUGCCCAGUGUCAAGGUACAACGAUGUAUUCACCAGCAAAAGAUAGUGUCUACCGGCUGAGACUUGAAAGUGCCUACCAUCAGCCCAAUGUCUAAACAUCACCAGCGUAGAUGUGUGAAGCUAAAAAACAGGCUAGGAACAGACAUGCCAUUGUCAGACGCAGUCCUCCUCUUCAAAGGUAAAUGCAACCUGCCCAGUGUCAAGGUACAACGAUGUCUUCUCCAGCAAAAGAUAGUUUCUACCUGCUGAGACUUGAAAGUGACUGCCACCAGCCCAAUGUCUACACACCAACAACAUAGAUGUGCAAAGCUAAAAACCAAGCAUGAGAAAGCUGACUUGCUACAACCAAGUGUGUAGCAAAUAACUUUCCCUCCAAUCAUGAAGGCUUCAGAAUUCGAGGUGAGCAACUCUCUUUAAGGCAUUCUACACAAGUAGUCAUGGAUGAACAACCAACCAACUUGAUGAAUUCAUUUGUAGAAUUGUAGAAAUGUUAAAUAAUAGAGAGGUUUCGCAAGUGUACGGAUACAGAUACAAUGAUACGUCAACACUUUGUGUGUUCACAUGACGCGUAUACGCAACUAUCGUAUUUUGCACAAACGUUAGCAAUGGAUAAGGGAGCUCGUACACGUCGUAGAAAAACAGAUACUGUUUUGCAGACUUUUAGUUCUCUUUUUGUCCCAGAUCAAAAACAUUUCCCAUGGAAUUGCUUUCACUGGU